rnacentral:pre_miRNA from 1 species
CCCACACCCAUGUGUGUAGGACCCGAAAGGAUCACCAUUAAAUUUGGCAGCGAUCUCUAGAAAAGUUAUCACUUGGGUGUGGGACUUGCACUUUUCUAGAUAUCUGUGCCAAAUUUAAUGGUGAUCCCUUGGGGUCCUACACACAUGGGUGUGGG